rnacentral:rRNA from 1 species
AUUGAACGCUGGCGGAAUGCUUUACACAUGCAAGUCGAACGGCAGCACGGGGGCAACCCUGGUGGCGAGUGGCGAACGGGUGAGUAAUACAUCGGAACGUGCCCAGUCGUGGGGGAUAACGUAGCGAAAGUUACGCUAAUACCGCAUACGAUCUCCGGAUGAAAGCGGGGGACCGUAAGGCCUCGCGAGAUUGGAGCGGCCGAUGUCAGAAUAGGGAGUUGGGGAGGUAAAGGCGCACCAAGCCGACGAUCUGUAGCUGGUCUGAGAGGACGACCAGCCACACUGGGACUGAGACACGGCCCAGACUCCUACGGGAGGCAGCAGUGGGGAAUUUUGGACAAUGGGCGCAAGCCUGAUCCAGCCAUUCCGCGUGCAGGACGAAGGCCUUCGGGUUGUAAACUGCUUUUGUACGGAACGAAAAGGCUCUGGUUAAUACCUGGGGCUCAUGACGGUACCGUAAGAAUAAGCACCGGCUAACUACGUGCCAGCCGCCGCAGUAA